CCUACGGGGGGCAGCAGUAGGGAAUAUUGCUCAAUGGGGGAAACCCUGAAGCAGCAAAGCCGCGUGGAGGAUGAAGGUUUUAGGAUUGUAAACUCCUUUUGUGAGAGAAGAUAAUGACGGUAUCUCACGAAUAAGCACUGGCUAACUCCGUGCCAGCAGCCGCGGUAAUACGAAACGUGCAAGCGUUACUCGGAAUCACUGGGCGUCAAGAGUGCGCAGGCGGGCUUGUAAGUCAGAUGUGAAAUCCUGUAGCUUAACUACGGAACUGCAUUUGAAACUAUGGAUCUAGAGUGUGGGAGAGGUAGGUGGAAUUCCUGGUGUAGGGGUAAAAUCCGUAGAUAUCAAGAGGAAUACUCGUGGCGAAGGCGACCUACUGGAACAUUACUGACGCUGAUGCACGAAAGCGUGGGGAGCAAACAGGAUUAGAUACCCCUGUAGUC
rnacentral:rRNA from 1 species